UACGUAGGCAGCAAGCGUUGUUCGGAGUUACUGGGCGUAAAGCGCACGUAGGCGGUCUUUUAAGUCGGGGGUGAAAUCCUGGAGCUCAACUCCAGAACUGCCUUCGAUACUGGAAGACUUGAGUCCGGGAGAGGUGAGUGGAACUGCGAGUGUAGAGGUGAAAUUCGUAGAUAUUCGCAAGAACACCAGUGGCGAAGGCGGCUCACUGGCCCGGUACUGACGCUGAGGUGCGAAAGCGUGGGGAGCAAACAGG
rnacentral:rRNA from 1 species